GACGAACGCUGGCGGCGUGCUUAACACAUGCAAGUCGAACGGUGAAGCUCCAGCUUGCUGGAGUGGAUCAGUGGCGAACGGGUGAGUAACACGUGAGCAACCUGCCCCUGACUCUGGAAUAAGCGCUGGAAACGGCGUCUAAUACUGGAUACGAGAAGGGUCCGCAUGGGCACUUUCUGGAAAGUUUUUCGGUUGGGGAUGGGCUCGCGGCCUAUCAGCUUGUUGGUGAGGUAAUGGCUCACCAAGGCGACGACGGGUAGCCGGCCUGAGAGGGCGACCGGCCACACUGGGACUGAGACACGGCCCAGACUCCUACGGGAGGCAGCAGUGGGGAAUAGUGCACAAUGGGCGAAAGCCUGAUGCAGCGACGCCGCGUGAGGGAUGACGGCCUUCGGGGUGUAAACCUCUUUCAGCAGGGAAGAAGCGAAAGUGACGGUACCUGCAGAAGAAGCACCGGCUAACUACGUG
rnacentral:rRNA from 1 species